rnacentral:lncRNA from 1 species
GCUUAUAGGGUGCAGCGUCUUCUUUCUCUUACGUACUUGCAAGUAGAAUUUAAAUAAUUCAAGUACAAUGCUGAAAAAAAAAUGAGAUAUAAAACACCCCCUGAAGCCACGAGCAUAACAUCUUUGCAUAUAGACCCAAUCUUGAGUAAAAAAGAUACCACAACUUUGGUCUCUUUCAAUAAAAUCAUCCCAUAAUAAAUCAACAAAACAAAAAGUUAUCUAACAUUGCUAUUCUAGUCUAUCCACUACUGUACCUACAUGAAUAUAAUCUCAAUCAGAUAUAUGUAAUGCUAGAGCUAGUGCACAAAAAUAGAUACCAUAAUUUUUUUGUCUAUCAAUAUAUAUGUGUUUGUGUGUGUACACGCAUGUAUGCAUACUGAAAGGGCACUUGUUUUAUGCUAAGAUCUUUGAAAUGAAAGGCAUCCCAUUAAAAUCAGCAGCAGGCAAGGGUUUUGAAAGACUAGGUAGAACUAACAGGCGACUCUGAGAAGCUGCAAUACUUUACCCAGGAAUGAAACAAGUGUACCCAUGGCAGCUUCUGAGCUUCUCGAGACAGGUUCUUAAAAUGGCCGCAUGUUUGGCAAGCUAGGGUGGAGAAUUUGCGAUGCCCAUUGAGGGGGUUGUUCUCAUUCAAAACCAAACAUUUUCUGAAACAUUGUAAACCAAACAAUACCAAUGUCUGAAAUCAGCAACAUUCCUUGAGAGAGGCAGAUUUCAAAGGCAUAACAAUCUACUAGAUGGCCUAAUUAUGCAUGCCACGGCUCCAGAGAUGGGCUUCCCCGAAUGAUUUGCUAUUGAUCAUAACCACAUAUUUCAGUCUUUUGUGAGGCAAAACUUAGCAGGCUCAACAUAAUUCAACUACUAGAUGCCCAAAUUUUUUUCUGUUUUCAGAACAAUAAGAAUAAUUUUACUCUUUACUUAACCACAUUGCUAAUUCCUAAUAUGAUAGUAAGAUAUCCAAUUAUCACACAUCACACGCCACUUAAAAGCCAAAUCAGAUACAAAAUUAUCCAAAAUCUAGGUUGUCUCAACCAUUACAUCAAAAUAAUUGAAGCGAUAUCUGUAGAUAAAAAUGUGUACACAUGCACCUGCACACUUCCCAUUUUCUGUUUAUCUCUAUUCUUCAAAUUUAGAUUAGAUCAAGAUAAUACAGUCAGGUAAAUUUUCCAGACAACAGAAUCUGGAUAAAUCCCAUCCAUGAUGGUGACUGAAAAAGACCUAUCUGGAUACCUGUCAUGACAGUGCCAAAGCAUAACAACUCAUGUUUCCAGCAUACAGAAAACACUAGUUCUUCAUGGUUCUGAAAGCUGGAAAGUAAUUUACAAGCACCCCCCACUCCCACCCCCGGAAAAAAAAAAGAAAAGAAGAAGAUAUCUUCCACCGGCUGACAUUUAUUAUUUCAAACUCAAGACAAGCAAAUCACAAUCACUGCUAUGACAAAUCGCCAUAUUCCACAUUCAAUUUAAUUUGGGUUCUGACUCAGAGAUCUCAAACAUUAGCAAAACCUACCAAAGGCGACAGCAGUAAAUGCAAACUUGUCUCAUUACGCAAAGUCAGCAUGACAAAAGCAAGAUCAGUUUGACAGAUCUUCCAGCAAUUCAGAGAGUUUGGCACAAUGUAUUUUAUUGGUAAAGAAAACAACCAUCAAUAGCGUGAAAAAAAAGAGACUGAAAGUGCCAGCCUAGAAUUAAUACUUGGAAAUUGCAAUCUGGAUUUCUCAUAUGUCAUUAAUAAAGCAUUGUGCGGUUAAACAGUAUCAAGUUUCCAUCCCACAGAAAACACUCAUUCUUCAUAAUCUCCACUAGUUCAGAAAGCUGGAAAGUAAUUCUGUAUCCUGCCAGAGAUUGAAGACGACCUCGUCCACUGGCACAGAUUUACAUUUCAAACUCAGAACAAUCAAACCACAAACAUUGCUACGACAAAUCACCAUAUUCCGGUCUUUGGUUUCUAGACAAGGGACUGCAAGCUGAAGGUGACAGCAGUAAAUGCAAACUUGUCUCCGUAAGCAAUAAUAUGACCAGAGAAAGAUCGGUUCAACAAAUCUUACAAUUCAGAAGGCUGGGCAUAAAGAAAAGAAUCAUAUAGAAGUACCAGACUAGAAUUAUACAUCAAAAUUGCAGUAUGAAAUCUCUCAUAGGUCAGGAUAAAGCAUCCCGCAUUUCGUGUUUCCAGCCUAAAGAAAACUCGUUCUUUAUUACAUAGUUCUGAAAAUUGGAAAGUCAUUUACAAGCCCAACGAAGAUCAAAGUCUACUUCUACUGGCCCACAUUUACUAAUUCAAACCCAAGACAAGGAAAUUACAAUUAUUGCUAUGACAAAUCACCAUAUUCCACGGUCAAUACAAUUUGGAUCCUAAGUGAAGGAUUUUAACAGUUAAUGAACCCAAUUUGAAGGUGACAGCAGUAAAUGCAAUCUCAUCUUACUAAGAAAAGUCGAAAUGACAAGAAAGAUUAGUUAGACAAAUCUUCUAACAACUAAGAGACAGUUCAUCAAUUAAUGGAUGAAGAAAACAGNNNNNNNNNNNNNNNNNNNNNNNNNNNNNNNNNNNNNNNNNNUAUACUUGAAUUUGGAUCAUCAUUUGAUAAUGUAAAGAAAACCAAAAAUGAAAAAAUACGUUUAGUAGCAAUUACUCUGAAUCAUGUGAGUAAGGUGAUAUUAUGGGUUUCUGACAGUGAUCUGCAACAACUUUUAAUGGUGCUUGGAUGGAUGAUAAAGCUAGACAAUUUAAGAACAAUACAAUAGAGAAAAAUUAAUUUGUGAGCAGGACAUAAUUUAGAGAGGGUUCAAAAAGGAGUAUCUCAGAAUCAGAUCGUCAUAUGGAUUUAAAAUUAUUUGAAAAUUGGAGGCCAAUGACCAUGUAAUGAUGAUGUGGCAUCAUAAAUACUCCACUAAACCUUAAUUCUAAACUAGUGGGGAUAAGCUACAUGAAUCCUUUUACUCCAUUCCAACUGGUUUACGGUCAUAUUUUCUAAAAAAUGUUGAGAUAUCAAGUGGAAUAUAGUAACAUCAGGUGCUCCUCCAUAUAAACCCACCGAUCACAGAAUGACUGCUGUAGGCUAUGGAAAUGAUACAGUGAGGUUUUCCAUGCCAUAAGCCAUGACAUAAGCAACCUUUAGAUCAUCAACUUGAAAUCUAAUACAGAGUAAGAUGGUCAGAUGAGAAAUGUCAAAUCUCAAAUCACAGUCUAUGAGAAAUUAGGUUCUGCUUAAGAACUUCGCCAUGCAGUUCACUUGAUUGUAUGAUUUAUUAUAACCUACAUUAUUAACUAAACAUUCCAAAAAAAGAAAAUAAUCAAUAUUUCUCUGCGUCAUGUGUGUUCUCACCUCCUGCUCUUUGCAGGCAAACAGAACCUAGAAUAUUUGUGCAAUGGACUUUACAAUGUACCAGCAAGUGGCAAAAGGCUUACCCACAAUGUAUUGGCAAAAGGAGAUGCAAUUCAGAGCAAUUAAGAGUCAAAUAGAUAGUCAAAUAAA